rnacentral:rRNA from 1 species
CCUACGGGAGGCAGCAGUGGGGAAUAUUGGGCAAUGGGCGCAAGCCGGACCCAGCAACGCCGCGUGAAGGAAGAAGGCGUUCGGGUUGUAAACUUCUUUUAAGAGGGAAGAGCAGAAGACGGUACCUCUUGAAUAAGCCACGGCUAACUACGGGCCAGCAGCCGCGGUAAUACGGAGGUGGCAAGCGGUGUCCGGAUUUACUGGGUGGAAAGGGCGUGCAGCCGGGAAGACAAGUCAGAGGUGAAAUCCCGCGGCUCAACCGCGGAACGGCAUUUGAAACUGUUUUUCUUGAGUACCGGAGCGUUCAUCGGACUUCCUUGUGUCGCGGUGAAAUGCGUAGAUAUCAGGUAGACCCCCAGUGGCGAAGGCGGCUGCCUGGACGGCAACUGACGGUGCGGCGCGACAGCGUGGGGAGCAAACAGGAUUAGCUACCCCAGUAGUC